AUGAAGUUCUCUCUCCUGCCUCAGUGGAUAAGGAUUCAAAGAAGGAGCAGUUUUAAGCUGCAUUUUUGCCAUGUUCUGUUGAGGAUCUCUAGAGGUUCAGUUGAUCACCCACCCGCAUCUAAGCACAGAUUCCAGUCCUUGUCCGUAGAGGAAAACAGUGAUCCAUUGCUUACCAAAAUUUGUCAGAUCCUAUCAAUGAGGGAAGUCUGCUCUGAGUUCUUCAAAAGCAUGCCUUCUACAUCUUAUGGACAUGGACUCACAUGGUCUUGUGAUGGUACAUCUGCAGCUGGUGCUGGGAUUUUUCUAAGAAAGACUUGA
rnacentral:lncRNA from 1 species